rnacentral:lncRNA from 1 species
UCGAGUGCAGAUGAGCCCACCAACAUUAAUCUCUCGGACUACUCAAGCGAUGAAGGUGAUACAAGCAGUUGCACCGAUGAUGAAACAACAGAUAAACCUACCCUGCCUGCGUCAGCUCCUCCCUCCUCACCUUUGUGUCCCCGUCAAAAAGGAACUCAAAAGCUUAAAGAAACCUCCCCCAAAACAAACGUAUCCCAGCCGCUUUCAUCCUACUCUUCACCUCUACCGCGUAAAAUUUUACAGGUUCAUUGCGCCAACUUGGACAUCUUUAAUCGAGAGAGUGAUGUUGAUUCUGGUGGUGAAAGUCCAGUUGGAGGACAUAUCUCAAGAAGUAUGGAAAGAAAUAAUAUUGAGAAUUUCCAGUUCUUGA